rnacentral:rRNA from 1 species
UACGUAGGGUGCGAGCGUUGUCCGGAAUUAUUGGGCGUAAAGAGCUCGUAGGCGGUCUGUCGCGUCGAAUGUGAAAACCCGGGGCUCAACUCCGGGCUUGCAUUCGAUACGGGCAGGCUAGAGUUCGGUAGGGGAGUCUGGAAUUCCUGGUGUAGCGGUGAAAUGCGCAGAUAUCAGGAGGAACACCGAUGGCGAAGGCAGCUCGCUGGGACGGUACUGACGCUGAGGCGCGAAAGCAUGGGGAGCGAACAGG